rnacentral:rRNA from 1 species
ACGAUGCCGACUAGGGAUUGGAUUGGUUUAAAUAUACCAGUUCAGUACCUUAGCGAAAGCGAAAAAGUCUUUAGGCUCUGGAGGGAGUAUGGGACGCAAGGCUGAAACUUACAGGAAUUGACGGAAGGGUACCACCAGGAGUGGAGCCUGCGGCAUAAAAUUUGACUCAAUACGAGGAAAACUCACCAGGUCCAGACAUAAGAAGGAUUGACAGAUUGAAAGCUCUUUUCAGGAUUCUAUGGGCGGUGGUGCAUGGCCGUUGUUAGUUUGUUGGAAUUGAUCCUGUAAAUAGGAUGAAGUCUAAUGACAAACGAGCUUUCAUCCAAGGUUACCUGGGCUUGAUCCUAGGUUUCUUGUUUGGAGACUAUUGGCUUUAAGCCAAAGGAAGUUGGAGGCAAUAACAGGUCUGUGAUGCCCUUUGAUGUUUCUGGGCCGCACGCGCGCUACACUGACCAAGACAACGAGUUUGUUUUUCCUUGGCCGAAAGGUCUGGGCAAUCUUUUGAAACUUGGUCGUGCUGGGAAUUGAGCAUUGCAAUAUUGCUCAUCAACGAGGAAUUCCUAGUAAGCACGACUUAUCAGGUCGUGCUGAUUACGUCCCUGCCCUUUGUACAUAUCGCCCGUCGUUGUUACCGAUUGAGUGGUUCAUGGCGAGUACGAGAGACUUGUAGAAUACGGGCUGGAAACAGCCGACUUUAUGGGAAACUCGUGCAAGCUAUGCCGUCUAGAGGAAGCAAACAUCACAACAAGGUUUUCCGUAGGUGAACUUGCGGAAGGAUCAAUUACAAUUACUUUUUCGCUGUGCAAAGCAGUGAAAACAAUUGUCUUCACCCAGUCUAUUGAAACGGUUCCUGGGUUAACAAAGAACGGAUCUCUUUAUGCAAAACAUGAAUUGAAACAAUACCAAAUGAUUUAUUGAAAAGAAAAUAGUUUCUUUUGAAAAUAACUUUAAGCAAUGGAUCUCUUGGCUCUCGCAUCGAUGAAGAGCGUAGCAAAUUGCGAUAAUUAGUGCGAUCUGCAUUCUGCGAAUCAUCGAGUUCUUGAACGCACCUUGCACCCUUUGGCUUGUCCUUGGGGUAUGCUUGUUUCAGUACAACUACAAACCCACAAAUGUCAUUUCUUGAUUGAAUUGACCAUUGUGAUUGGGAUGUUAAAGGUUGAACACCUGUUUGACCUUUCAUCCUGAAAAUGAAUCCAUCGGAUACAUUUCAACAUUGGUUUGUUUCCUUCGCAUGAAAUUUUCUUGAUUGAAAAACAUUGGGGAAUUUGCCAAUACCACAACAUCAAACUUGUUGUCUGGAAUCAAGCAGGAUUACCCGCUGAACUUAAGCAUAUCAAUAAGCGAGGAAAAGAAAAUAACCAUGAUUGCCUUAGUAACGGCGAGUGAAGAGGCAAAAGCUCAAGUUUGGAAUCUCAGUGGUUUAACCACUGCGCAUUGUAAACUGAAAAAGGAUCAAUCAGGUACACCGGGUGAUAAGUUCCUUGGAAUAGGACAUCAUGGAGGGUGAGAAUCCCGUCUUUGACCCGAGUCUAGUAUCUUUUGUAUUGGCCUGUUCAAAAAGUCAGGUUGUUUGGGACUGCAGCCUAAAGCUGGAGGUAAAUCCCUCCUGAAGCUAAAUAAUGGCGAGAGACCGAUAGCGAACAAGUACCGUGAGGGAAAGAUGAAAAGAACUCUGAAGAGAGAGUUAAACAGUACGUGAAAUUGCUUAAAGGGAAGCAUAUAAAGCUAGGAUGCGAUUAUUUUCUUCAGGAUGAGCUUUGGCUUGACUGUUCAGAAGGAUAAUCCGAGACAACAAGAAUUGAAGGAGGAGAAUAAGCUGUUAGGAAAGGUAAUCCUUCGGGAUGUUUAUAGACCUGGCAGUUCGCGCUCUUCCUUCGAUUGAGAUACGCUUUUUUUAAAGGUUGUUGUCUGAAUAGCUUUAUACAGUAUGGCCCGUCUUGAAAUACGGACCAAGGAGUCCAAUUGAUGUGCAAUUAACAAUCAAAUUGGAACUGGUACGGACAAGGGAAAUCCGACUGUCUAACCAAAACAUAGCAUUGCGAUGGCCAGAAAGCGGUGUAGACGUAAUGUGAUUUAUGCCCAGUGCUCUGAAUGUCAAAGUGAAGAAAUUCAACCAAGCGCGGGUAAACGGCGGGAGUAACUAUGACUUCCUUGAGGUAGCCGGUCCCUGUGAUCUAGCUAAUGGCGUGGUGAAUGGAUUGAAUGAGAUUCCCACUGUCCCUAUCUACUAUCCAGCGAAACCACAGCCAAGGAAAGGUCUUGGCAUAUUCAGCAGGGAAAGAAGACCCUGUCGAGCUUGACUUUAGUCUGACAUUGUGAAGAGACAUAGAGGGUGUAGAAUAUGAGGGAGACCUCGGUCGCCAGUGAAAUACCUCAACUUCUAUGAUCUCUUCACUUAGGUUAUCAAGUGGGGCUUUUUGGAUUCGCGUCCAACAUAUCUUAGCUUUAAGCCUUGUUUGCAAGGUGACCCGAGUAACUGACAUUGUCAGGUGGGGAGUUUGGCUGGGGCGGCACACCUGUGAAACAAUAACACAGAUGUCCUAAGGGGGCUCAACGAGAACAGGACUCUCGUGUAGAGCAAAAGGGCAAAAGCCUCCUUGAUUCUGAUUUUCAGCGUGAAUACGAACCCUGAAAGGGUAGCCUAUCGAUCCUUUAUGUCCUCAGGGUUUGAGGCUAAAGGUGCCAGAAAAAGUUACCGCAGGGAACAAGUGGCUUCUGGCAGCCGAACGGAUAUAGUGAUGCUGCUUCGAUGUCGGCUCUUCCUAUCAUACUGAAGCAGAAUUCAGUAAGCGUUGGAUUGUUCACCCACUAACAGGGAACGUAAGCUGGGUUUAGACCGUCGUGAGACAGGUCAGUUUUACCCUACUGAAGACUGUAGCUUGUCGUGACAGUAAUUGAAGUCAGUACGAGAGGAACCCUUCAUUCAGAUAAUUGGUUUACGCGGUUGGUCGAAAGGCUAAUGACGCGAAGCUACCAUCUGCUGGAUAACAGCUGAAUGCCUCUAAGUUGGAAUCCAUGCUGGUUGAUGCGACAAUUUGGCCUUCUUUCUGGGAUAGAAAGUAACAAUAAGGGUGCUUCGACUCGGCACACCUGAAAACUACAUUUUGGGAGUUGGUUGCCUCUGUUCAUGGAAGUGUGGACUGAUGACACCAGCUUUUGAUUACAAUGAAU